rnacentral:rRNA from 1 species
CUAAGCAUAUCAAUAAGCGGAGGAAAAGAAACCAACAGGGAUUGCCUCAGUAACGCGCGAGUGAAGCGCGCAACACGCUCAAAUUUGAAAUCUGGAGCCCUCGGCUUCCGAGUUGUAAUUUGAAGAGGAUGUUUCGGUUGUGGCCUGGGCCUAAGUUCCUUGGAACAGGACGUCAUGGAGGGUGAGAAUCCCGUACAUGGCUGCAGGCUUACUUCCAUGUGAAACUCCUUCGAAGAGUCGAGUUGUUUGGGAAUGCAGCUCAAAAUGGGUGGUAAAUUUCAUCUAAAGCUAAAUAUUGGCGGGAGACCGAUAGCGCACAAGUAGAGUGAUCGAAAGAUGAAAAGCACUUUGAAAAGAGAGUUAAACAGCACGUGAAAUUGUUGAAAGGGAAGCGCUUGCGAUCAGACUCGCUCUCGGUUGAUCAACGUUCCUUCUGGUGCGUGCACUCUGCCGUUGGCGGGCCAGCAUCGGUUGGGGCGGCGGGACAAAGGCAGCGGGAAUGUGGCUCCUCUCGGGGAGUGUUAUAGCCCGUUGUGUAAUGCCGCCAGCCCCGACCGAGGUCCGCGGUUCUGCCUAGGAUGCUGGCUUAAUGGUCGUAAGCGACCCGUCUUGAAACACGGACCAAGGAGUCUAACAUCUAUGCGAGUCUUUGGGUGUCAAACCCAUGGGCGGAAUGAAAGUGAACGGAGGUGGGAGUCCUCGGAUGCACCAUCGACCGAUCCUGAUGUUCUCGGAUGGAUUUGAGUAUGAGCAUAGCUGUUGGGACCCGAAAGAUGGUGAACUAUGCCUGAAUAGGGUGAAGCCAGAGGAAACUCUGGUGGAGGCUCGCAGCGGUUCUGACGUGCAAAUCGAUCGUCAAAUUUGGGUAUAGGGGCGAAAGACUAAUCGAAUCAUCUAGUAGCUGGUUCCUGUGA